rnacentral:rRNA from 1 species
UACGGAGGAUGCAAGCGUUUAUCCGGAAUUAUUGGGCGUAAAGCGUCCGCAGGUGGUUAUCCAAGUCUGCUGUUAAAGCGCGAGGCUUAACUUCGUACAGGCAGUGGAAACUGGGUGACUGGAGUAUGGUAGGGGUAGCGGGAAUUCCCAGUGUAGCGGUGAAAUGCGUAGAGUAUUCGGAAGGAAACGAACCAGCCAGGCUGGAACGGCAAGGCGCUCCUGGGCCUAAGGCCUUGAUCAAUGACCACUUCGAACUGAAC